CGAUGCCCAGGGUGGCAUGACUGUGGCCGGCCCUGGGCCUCGGAAACUCUGCAGAGCAUGGCGUCCCUCCUAGGUCCCGGCCCCUCGUGGGAGGUAUUCAGGUUUCUACCUUUCCACAGGGGAGGACGUGCUGGGGGAGGGAGACUCUCGCAGCCUCCCUUUGGUUCAACUUCAGGGUCAGAAGAGAUUGGGCAGCUGCUGAGCUUCCAAGCAGGAGUAGGACUACCCCAAUGGCACCUGGCUGGGCGACGAGAACAACCCCGAGAUGCGGGUGCGCUGCGCCAUCAUCCCCUCCGACAUGCUGCACAUCAGCACCAACUGCCGCACGGCCGAGAAGAUGGCGCUCACGCUGCUGGACUACCUCUUCCACCGCGAGGUGCAGGCCGUGUCCAACCUCUCGGGGCAGGGCAAGCACGGGAAGAAGCAGCUGGACCCGCUCACCAUCUACGGCAUCCGGUGUCACCUUUUCUAUAAAUUUGGCAUCACAGAAUCCGACUGGUACCGAAUCAAGCAGAGCAUCGACUCCAAGUGCCGCACGGCGUGGCGGCGCAAGCAGCGGGGCCAGAGCCUGGCGGUCAAGAGCUUCUCGCGGAGAACGCCGAACUCAUCCUCCUACUGCCCCUCAGAGCCGAUGAUGAGUACCCCACCUCCUGCCAGCGAGCUCCCGCAGCCACAGCCGCAGCCGCAGGCCCUGCACUAUGCGCUGGCCAACGCACAGCAGGUGCAGAUCCACCAGA
rnacentral:sRNA from 1 species